GGGGGCUUAGCUUAAAAUUAAAGCGUUAAUUUGAAGAGUUAUAGAUACUUUUGGUAGUCCCCA
rnacentral:tRNA from 1 species